CUUCGUUUCUCUUUCUUCAGAUGAUGAUCCCAAAGCCUUCUGGCGAUCUGUUUAUACAAGCCUCUAAGGGGGAUGGAAGAUAUUAUUUCUUUGAUCAGAUUAUGCGAUUGAAGGUUUUCAGUUUUCCUCGUAGGGCUUGUAGCUCAGUCGGUUAGAGCGCGCGCUUGAUAAGCGUGAGGUCGGAGGUUCAAGUCCUCCCAGGCCCACCAGUUUCGCUAUGCUGCACUUUGCUUUGAUAAUCUGAAAAGGCUCUCAGUGAGACUGAUCGCAAUCCCUUUUUGGAUAAUUCCUUAAAAGAAUUUAUUGCCUCAAUCAAUUUUUCUAAAAAUAUUUAGACCCUCCAUAGAAACUUAAAGCUUUCUAUAGCAAUGAACUCUUUGUAAGAAAUUUGGACUCUUCGUGAGAAAUUAUUGUCUCUUCUUUUCAAUAAGGGACAAAAUAGGAAAAAAAGCAGGCCAAUAUUGUGUCUCUGUUUGUUUUAA
rnacentral:misc_RNA from 1 species